rnacentral:rRNA from 1 species
GAUGAACGCUGGCGGCGUGCCUAGUACAUGCGAGUCGAGCGAACGGACGAGAAGCUUGCUUCUCUGAUGUUAGCGGCGGACGGGUGAGUAACACGUGGAUAACCUACCUAUAAGACUGGGAUAACUUCGGGAAACCGGAGCUAAUACCGGAUAAUAUUUUGAACCGCAUGGUUCAAAAGUGAAAGACGGUCUUGCUGUCACUUAUAGAUGGAUCCGCGCUGCAUUAGCUAGUUGGUAAGGUAACGGCUUACCAAGGCAACGAUGCAUAGCCGACCUGAGAGGGUGAUCGGCCACACUGGAACUGAGACACGGUCCAGACUCCUACGGGAGGCAGCAGUAGGGAAUCUUCCGCAAUGGGCGAAAGCCUGACGGAGCAACGCCGCGUGAGUGAUGAAGGUCUUCGGAUCGUAAAACUCUGUUAUUAGGGAAGAACAUAUGUGUAAGUAACUGUGCACAUCUUGACGGUACCUAAUCAGAAAGCCACGGCUAACUACGUG